rnacentral:rRNA from 1 species
AUGAGCUCGGACGGACCGCGUGCUGCCUGCUGCGUGCGUCUCAUAAGUUUCCACCCACCACGUUCUCCGCCACGACUCCCCAGCUCUCAAAUUCCUCAAACCAUGGCCGCCGCGGCCUCACGGCACCUCUGCUCCGCCACGGCGCUGCUGUCCCCCUCCGCCGCCGCGGCGCCCAUCCGCCAGAGGGUCGGCUACGGCUCCUCCUCCAACCGCCGGUGGCUGUGCCGCCGGUGGGCCCACGGGCCGGAUGCCGCGUCCCGGAUCCGGCGCCUGACGACUCGCUCGAGGACAGCGAGGGUGAGCUGCGCCUAUUCCACCGGCGCUGAAGCAAUCACUGCAUGUUCCUGGAACCAAAAUGUCAUCUGCAGUGAUGUGCCUGUGCUUGUGGAGUUUUGGGCCUCAUGGUGUGGACCUUGUAAAAUGGUCCAUCGAAUUGUCGACGAGAUUGCGGCCGAAUAUGAUGGAAGAAUAAAGUGCUAUAAGCUUGACACUGAUGAUUACCCACAAACUGCAAUUUCCUACAAUAUUGAGAGGGUUCCGACUGUUUUACUAUUCAAGGAUGGAGAGAAAAUACAUAGUAUUACUGGAACUCUGCCAAAAGCCGUUUAUGUGAGGGCCAUUGAGAAUUCUUUCUUAGAACAGUGA